rnacentral:rRNA from 1 species
UUGGAGGGCAAGUCUGGUGCCAGCAGCCGCGGUAAUUCCAGCUCCAAUAGCGUAUAUUAAAGUUGUUGCAGUUAAAAAGCUCGUAGUUGAAUUUCGAGACCGGCUUACUGGUCGUGCUAUUGUACGUACUGGUAUAAUCGGUUUCUCCUUUCUGACGAACUUUAAUGCCAUUAAUUUGGUGUUUUAGGGAAUCAGGACUGUUACUUUGAAAAAAUUAGAGUGUUUAAAGCAGGCUCACGCUUGAAUACAUUAGCAUGGAAUAACAGAAUAGGACGUUUGAUUCUAUUUUGUUGGUUUCUAGGAUCGACGUAAUGAUUAAUAGGGAUAGUUGGGGGCAUUAGUAUUCAAUUGUCAGAGGUGAAAUUCUUGGAUUUAUUGAAGACUAACUACUGCGAAAGCAUUUGCCAAGGAUGUUUUCAUUAAUCUAGAACGAAAGUUAGGGGAUCGAAGACGAUCAGAUACCGUCGUAGUCUUAACCAUAAACUAUGCCGACUAGGGAUCGGAUGAUGUUAAUUUUUUAAUGACUCAUUCGGCGCCUUACGGGAAAC